GGGCAAACCACACUUAUGUGGUCACAUCCGUUCCAUAUUCUCUAUUAGUGAGUUACAUAAACACAUCCACCUUAUAUGCAAAAAGAAAACAGAAAACAUCAACACUACACCACCACCAACAAGGUACGCAAAACACCGCCGAUCUGUGGUGGCCGUUUUUUUUUUCCUCUCCGAUCUGUGGAUUUCAGGGGUCGUGGGUGGGUUAAACACAACAACACCACAACACCACCACCCACAAGGUACACAAAACACCACAACACCACCAACCACAAGGUACACAAAAUACCACCGAUCUGUGGGGGCCGGUUGUUUUGUUUUUUCCUCUCCGAUCUGUGGAUUUCAGGGGUCGUGGGUGGGUUAAACACAACAACACCACUACCCACAAGGUACACAAAACACCACACCACCAACACUACCACCCACAAGGUGCACAAAACACCACAACACCACCAAGCACAAGGUCUAGAUGGGUGGCUCUAGAAGACUAGACCUGUUCUUCACCUUUUACAUCACGACUUUCAGGGAAUAUAAUUCGUAAAGGGUUCUAUGGAGCCAAACGUGUGGGGGCAUAAAGUCCAGGGUUUGAAGGAAGUGAAUUGACUGUGGUGGUGAUGGAAAGGACAUUUACGCUUUGGUUGUUUUGAAGUAAAAUUUUUGCAAAGCUCAAACAUCAAGGGGUGUAAUCGGUUCGCGGUUGGUGUUGAAGGCAAUUUUUACACUAAACCGAGGAUUUCGGUUUUGCCAUAUUUGGCACCGACACCAACUGAUAGGGAAGGAAUACCAAACCAACUUGACUGCAGUCAGUUUCGAUUCAAUUUUGUUGGGUUUGGUGUUUGGAUGUGAGAAAAAGCAAGAAGAAAAAGAGAAGAAAAUAGGUUUUGUUGUUUGGGAUGUAAGAAACAAAAGCAAGGAGAAAAAGUGAAAAUUGCAUGAAGAAAAAGAGAAGACGACCAGCGGCAUGUCAAGAAGAGAGAGAAUUGGGGGAGAGGGGGGCACUGGAGGCUGGAAAAGAAAAGAUGCUAUAACUAUUGGUAAGGAAAUAAAAGAUGCUAGGGUUAAAGAAAAGAUGCCAGGGUUAUAAAAAAAAAAAAAAAUCACUCAAAAGGGUUGGGUGAACCACCUAUCAAUUUGUUCUAAGAAUCUCUCAUUCUAUCUAGUUCUAAUUCACAUUAGAGCCCAUCAAUUUUUUCUAAGAAUCUCUCAUUCUAUCUAGUUCUAAUUCACAUUAGAGCCCAUCAUAUGUUCUUGCAUCAAUACCCCAUAUGCAAAAAACAAAAAAUAACAAUUCUGCUCACAAUCUGCAGCUUGACUGUCUUCCCAUACAGCUCCAGUGUUUUGAUUUUCUGAAACAUAAACCUCAAAUAUUCAAGUAUUGGUCCAUACAAAAACUAUAAACCCAAACAUAAACAUACACACCCACAUACAUAAAUUCCAUCAUAAACCUUUAGAAAAUCAUAAAUCAUUUAUUGAUAAAUAAAUGGUUCAGAUUUUACAGCAUUAUCAGCAUUUAAUCAAUAUAUAUAUAUAUAUAUAUAUAUAACCGAAACUUCUGAAGCUUCUACAAUUUUCCACAUCAACAUAAUAUUAAAAAAAAAAACGAACACAAAAAAAAAAAGAACUUUUCAUGCAAAAUAAAACUUUUCUAAAACCCGAUAAACGCAAAACCAGCUCUCUACCUUCUCAUUCCUCAAAAAAUAGCUCUCUGCCUUCUCCUUCCUCAAUAAAAACCACCAUACCCACCAUACUCACAAACCAACAGAGAUCUCCUUGCUUAGACCCUAUUUCUCCCGUUCCCCUUCUCCUUUCCUGUUCCACCCACAACCACCACAACUCAGCAACUCAGCAGGCAGUAUCAGCACCACCACCCACAACAACAGCAACCCACAAACCACCAUAAUCAGACCAUAUCAAACCCACAACCCAAAAGCAAAAAACGAUUUUGAAGAUUUGCAAUUGCCCAAAGUUAAAGUCGCUGCCGAACUUCGUUACUAUAACUCUGUUACAGAAAUUCUAAAUCUGGGGGAGUCCGAUUCUAGAUGAACGCUGCGAAAGAGAGACAGGAGAAGAGUGGCCCAAAAUUUCCCACAUCCCUAACAUCGAGAUGUUUGUUAAGAUAAAGUUUGUCAAAGAAGAAGAUGACGAAGAAGAGCAAGAGGACCGGUGAUUUCUGUGAUUCUAGGUUCAAGAUUUGAGAUUCAAGUAGAGAUUUUUGGAUGACGAUGGUGAAACAUGAUUUGUGUGGAUGGGCAAAGUUCAUUCUUUGCUUGAUUUAGUUAUAGUCUAAUCUAGUCAUGGUGGAUGACAGCAGGUAGAGGAAUCAUCCAACCCUGAAAUGCCCGCAAGAAGAAAAACUCAAAGGGAUUAUAGCUCUGGGUCAAUUUAUCCUCUAAGGACAAAAUGUCAGAACUCUUCUUUUUGUUGAAGGGGUUCUUAAAAGUAGAAGUUCUCAAAUCAAUGAUUGUAUCAAAAGUUCAUUCUCUUGGAUGGUGUUUAAUGGAACUGAUGUAACAGAGGGUUCUGAGAGGCUAGCAGAAGCUAUAGGUGAUGAUUCUGAAGCUGUGAUAUGUGCUACUGGGUUUAAGCCUGGAUGGGAUUUGUUUGCUUCUUGGAAGGGGACAUUUUCAUGUGGUCUUCGUUAUUGUCAAGGAAAGUUAUUUUCUUUUUAAGGCAUAUAAGCUGCACUUUUGGGAGAUCUAGGGUACCAUGGAAAAGAAAGAAUACUGCCAAAGGCCUGAAAACAACUAUAUGUUGCUCUUUGGGACCAAGAUUUAACUUUGCCUUGAGGUUAAAAAUGAGAUUACAUCAUACAAAGAUACAAUUGUAUGCAGCAAUGAAGAUUUCCAACCAUGAGAAGUGGUAGCAUAUAAGCAUAAACAAAUUAUUUUUGUAUUUAUUUGUAUGUAAGUUUUUGGUGUUAUAUUAUUGCAAUUUUAAUGUGGAAAUUGUUACUAUAAACCUUGAUUUAUUUGUUCAAAUAUACAAAUUUUGUUUA